CUCGGCAACGGAUAUCUCGGCUCUCGCAUCGAUGAAGAACGUAGCGAAAUGCGAUACUUGGUGUGAAUUGCAGAAUCCCGUGAACCAUCGAGUCUUUGAACGCAAGUUGCGCCCAAAGCCAUUCGGCCGAGGGCACGUCUGCCUGGGUGUCACGC
rnacentral:rRNA from 1 species